GCUAAAUAAACCUUUCCUCCUUUUAACUUUGGCACUGGGAAUUUUGUCUUAGGAACAAGAGAAAAAUAAUUAUGACAAUGCCCAUCUAUGCCUGGCUAGAACUUUAGAGAGGCUGCAGAACCUUAGCCACAGUGUAACCAAAGUAUGGCAUAGGAUGAAAUGUACUGGGAAAAACAGUACCCCUUCCCCUAGGAGCUUUGGGCAUUUCUCUGUGAGGACAGAAUUAAUAUAAUUUUUUCCUAGAUUCUUUAAUCUGGAAUUUAGACCAAGGCUUAGAUGGACUUCUUUUCAGAGGCGGCAAUAAGAAAUUAUGUGCCAAUUUCUAACCUGUAGAUUGGUAACUAUCAGCUUCUCUCUUUUUUUCUGCCCCCCCCCAAAGAACUUUCUGGUAUGUUGUUAGAUAUCUAUUUACUAAUUUGUUGUUAGCAAUUCUGGGUCACACCUAUGCCAUUUUCAAUGGCUUGUUCAAAACAUCCAUUCAGAACAUAGUUUUUUUGUGAAGUAAGGGAUAAAGUACCCUGUGAUGAAAACCUCAAAUUUGCCUUGAACGAAUCCUGUGGCACUUAAGAAUGUAUUUAUGGUUCCUUCUGGAGAGUGCUUCUGUUGAUCGAAGAUAGAACAUGGAAAUCUGAUUUUUUAAAUAAGCAAGGUAAGUAAGUCUUUGAACAUUGGGGAACACUGUUCAAAAUACUGAUAGAUUUUUAUAAGGAAACUGACUCUUCCCAUAUAUCCCACCCCAGCUCUACAAAAGUAUGCCUUCUAGAGGCUUGGUACCACUGCUAGGUGGGCACCGUCCCUUGCCAGCAGAGCCAGGCCGGAAGUAAUUUUCAUCUCUGCUUCUUGGGAAAUAUUUUAUUCUAUGUUGGCUCUAUUUGCUCUGCUGACCCCCGGUGGCCAUCUGAGAAAAUGGAGGCUUAGAUACUUCCGCUAAAAUAAUGGCUGAGUUGGCUAAAUGUUGAGGUCCAAGACAUUAUGAUUAACAGAUUAAGAAAACCCAUCUUAGAAGUGUGGUAAACAUACUUUAAAAAGGGUCAGUCUCAUUUUGAGGUACGUGGUUGGAAUGGUUCUGUGUUGGGGCACUAGCAUGAGGCAGCUGCAUCGUGGAAGUAUAGAAAUAGUGUGAGGACGGUGUAAACAUAGACUAGGCUAAAGGAGCAGUAAUUUUUUUGAGAGUAGGAAAAUUUAUUGGAGAAAAGGAAUUAGGAAUAGGGGAAUGGAGAAUAGGAAUAGCUCCUGAGAGACAGGAAGGGUCCCAAAUGAGCUGUUAACGAUCCCACCUCUUGAAGUUUUAUAGAGCAAAAUCAUGAGGCGGGUACAAUGUGGGUAAUUCUAAGGAACAAUAGAGGUUAAGAGUAGGAAAAUUUAUUGGAGAAAAGGAAUGGCAAGUAGGAAUAGCUCCUGAGAGACAGAGGGGUCCUGAACAGGUUGCCCAAGAAGCAGUUAUUUAUUGAGGGUGAAUGUAAGGAGACGGUAGAAAAUAUAUUGUAUUGGUCUUUGAGGUUUUCCCAGCUGAUGUAGAGCUGCACCUCCCAUAGAUGUCUUUCAACUGUUUGAGAAAGAAAGGUAGAAUUUCCAGGCACUGCAAGAAGCUGUGAGAUGCAGUCUGGAAAAAUGGUAGCACCUUCAGGGGUUCUGUUUUACUCCUACGCCCAGGAGCUAGAAGAGGCAAAGCUGGAAGAAAGGACACUCCCUUCUUGGACCAGAGCUGAAGUUACUUCUGGAAAAAAGGGCAGAAACCACGUACCAGAAAUAGCUAUGCACAUGUGAAUGGUGACAAGUAAAUGAAAAAAAUUUGAAGCUAAGAUGAUUUCAGACCUUUGUGCUGCAUGGUGGAAAGAUGAACCUUGCCUCGCACACUACGGUAGCACAAGGGAAGGUCAUCCAAAAAGGAAAGUAGUGCUGGGUAGUAGAGGCACUGCAAUGGAAAUAUUAGCAGUCACUCCCCAUUUGGCCCAACUUCUCCCUUCCCCCAGCCCUAGGCAACUACUAAUCUACUCUGUUCCUAAAGAUGCCUCUUCUGGCCGGUUCUUAUAAAUGAAACCAAGUAAUACGUGGCC